rnacentral:rRNA from 1 species
GACGAACGCUGGCGGCGUGCCUAAUACAUGCAAGUCGAGCGGACUGAAUGGGAGCUUGCUCUUGUUCGGUCAGCGGCGGACGGGCGAGUAACACGUGGGCAACCUGCCCGCAAGACCGGGAUAACUCCGGGAAACCGGAGCUAAUACCGGAUAACACCGAAGACCGCAUGGUCUUUGGUUGAAAGGCGGCGCAAGCUGCCACUUGCGGAUGGGCCCGCGGCGCAUUAGCUAGUUGGUGAGGUAACGGCUCACCAAGGCGACGAUGCGUAGCCGGCCUGAGAGGGUGACCGGCCACACUGGGACUGAGACACGGCCCAGACUCCUACGGGAGGCAGCAGUAGGGAAUCUUCCGCAAUGGGCGAAAGCCUGACGGAGCGACGCCGCGUGAGCGAAGAAGGCCUUCGGGUCGUAAAGCUCUGUUGUGAGGGACGAAGGAGCGCCGUUUGAAGAAGGCGGCGCGGUGACGGUACCUCACGAGGAAGCCCCGGCUAACUACGUG